rnacentral:misc_RNA from 1 species
CUCAAUCUCCAAUGGAUUUUGUAAAGGCAAAAAUUUCCAAAAAACUCAUACAAACCUUGUAGGUGCCUGCUUUGUAUACACAUACCAUAAAUAUAUAUACACACAUAGACUACACUGAUCAUUGAUUUGAUUCGCAUGAGAUUGUCAACAUACCCACAAAUCAUUGCACUUAAGGCUAGUGGACACUGGUCAAUUCUAAUGCCAGUGGUGGGCAGUGAAUUAGUGCUAUCCACGAAUGCAGGGAGCAUAUCAGCUGUCAUCGCUAAGAAAGUAUGGCAGAAAAUAAUUAGUAAUAUCAAACUUCAUAUAUAUACAAUCUUCUACUCUUGAUUACCAAGAAUUACAUUGCAAAGUUAUUCAAGGCUAUUGAUGCCCGAAAAAAUCAGGGCCACCCUCAACAUCAUCAACUUUGAUGCUUCCACUUUUGUAUAUUAGUUCUUUUCCAUGAACAAAUUCAAUAUCACAUCAAAUUUCACCUUAUUCUUAUAACAUGGCAUGAAGUCAUGAAACAGAUAACUAAUUAGUCUGCAAAGAGUUUACAAAAGAAUCAUCGUGGUUGGUCGGUACGAGUGACCAAAAACCCUAUAUAAGAUUGAAUGUUCAAUUCUCUUUAAUGGAGAAAAUUUUGACCUAACUCAGUGGAUUAAGA